AUGUUUGAAGAAUUAUGUUAUUCUUUACGAUUUGAUCAACAAUCUUUUUUUCUUUUGGCAUUUAUAUAUAUUUACUUAAGCAAUUUGAAACAAAGUCAAUGAUUCAUAUCAUUGACUUUGUUCUCCACGUUUUAAUUUCUAAAAGGAUCUUCAAACUCCAGAGAAAUGGAUGCAUCCAAAUUGAUCUUCCUCUCACAAAGGAAGGCGUCUUGUAACCUUUGAUUCGCCGAUAAACUUCGAACUCAUCUCAAGCAGUAGUAUGUUGGAUGAAGGGGAUCCUGAUCCUGAUCCGGUAAGCAUUCUGCAAACUAUAGAAAAUGAGCAUGAGGACUUGACGGACGACAAAAGGAAGGAAAUCAAGUUGAUUAAGACAGAGCUAUGGUUUCUGGGUAGAUUUCUCCUGGGGCAUUGGGAGUGCAGUAAAUCCCUUCAAGUGCGGAUUAGAAGUCUCUUGGUAUUUGCAGAAGAUCUUUAUCGCUCUAACUUUGAUGCUGAUCCCUCUUACGUGCUACGAUCGAUAGAGCAUUUCAAUUACUUCAUCCCAAUAAAUUAUUGGGAAUCAGAAGAAAGUCUAGUUCCUGUUACUACGCCUCUGAACCACGUACAUAUGCUGGCAUACAUAGACAAUGUUGUACAGAAUUUCAAGGACCUGCUGAUUGUUCGCCUUGUCAAGCUGCCUGAUGUACAGUCUCAAGUGGAAUCAGUCGUAAAGGAGUUGAGAGCACUGAAGAAGUUUAUCUUCUUUCUGGGAGAAAUAUGCAUUUCAACAGAACAAAUUAAAUGCUGGCAAACUUUCUGGCUUCAUGUCAGACUUGUGACUACCCGUGCAGCAAUUUUGUUAUACUUGCCUUGUUACGACAGAUUUUCUCAUAUGAUGCAGGAUAACUUGAUGUGCAGCCAGAUAGUCUGCGAUGACGAGCUCCUGAAAUAUAUUUUAAAGUUAUUAUCAUUCGGCAGCACUCAUGUCAAACUGUACCUCAAUAAAGCCGCAGAUGAAUUCAUGGAUUUUCUUCUGCACGUACACAUGCAGUUAGGAGCGGAUUCAUGGACUUCAGAUCAAAAUUAUACUUUUACUGAACAGAUCAACUGUUUGAGAGCUCUGCUCAAAGAGUUACCAUUGAUUAACGACAUUCAGGAUGAGAUGAGGAUCCAUUUCUUCAAGCGACUAGUGACACUGGUCAUUCAUGCUGGACUUACUGUCUACUCGGGGGGUGAUUGGGACCAAAAAAUGCUUCUUCUCUAUGGCAUGAUUCGGUCCGUCAAAACAGAGAUUUGCCACAAGAUCCGAGAGUGGGUAACAUCUCAUUUGCCUAAGAAUGAUAAAUUGGGCUUUUCCAAUUGCCUUCUUGCUAGCUUGAAAGAGUUCCUGUCUGGUCAUUCUGCUUCACUUGCUUCUGUGAAGGAUCAAAUCGAAGUAGUCCAUGAGGAGCUUAAGUUUUUCGAGCCUUUCAUCAUGCGUCUAGCAGAACAAGCCAAUAACAAGCAUAACGAACUCCAAAAUCUUGUUGGAAGAGUCAUUGAUAAGGCUUAUGAGGUUGAGUACAUACUUGAUUCUUUUGCAAUUAGUGAUGUACCUCUUACUUUUCUUAGGAUGUGGCUCUUGGAAAUCAUAAGGGAGAUUGAGCUCAUUAAGACUGAGUUGACUAAACCCAAGGAAAAAAAUAUGACAAGUGCCUCCCAUGCUACCGACGGAGAACUGGUUGGUUUUACAGAUGUCUGUAAAACUAUAAGAGAUCAACUAGUUGGAGGAUCACAAGAACUGGAUGUUGUUUCCAUUGUGGGUAUGGCUGGAUCAGGAAAAACGACCCUUGCUCGAAGUUUCAUCAAUGAUGAUAUAGUUGUUUCUCAUUUUGAUUUCUUUGCAGAGUGUCGUGUUUCACAAGAAUACACACGUGAGGACUUGCUGUUUUCCAUUUUGAGUUCUGCUAAUUCUGGCCUCACUGAUAUUAGUAAAAGAGGUGCUGAUAUAUUAGCUGAUAGACUCAGAAAAACUCUAUUGCCGAAAAGGUACCUCUUGAUCAUUGACGAUGUGUGGGCAGUACAAGCAUGGGACGAUUUGAGAUUAUGCUUUCCUGAGGCCAAAAAAGGUAGCAGAAUAAUUCUGACGACCAGACUUAAAGAAGUUGCUACGUAUGCUAAAUGUGUCACUGAACCCAUAAACUUGCGUAGUAUGAAAGAUUCAGAAAGUUGGUUGUUAUUACAAAAAAAGGUAUUUGGGGAAGAAAUGUGCCCCGAAGAGCUAAAAGAAGUUGGGCAAAACAUUGCGUUCAAGUGUAAUGGGCUGCCACUUUCCAUUGUUUUAGUGGCUGGUCUUCUCGCAAAGAUUGACAAGACAGAAAGAUGCUGGACGCGGAUGGAAUUAAGUUUUGGGGAAAGAGUGCAGGAUGGCGCAAAGGAUUUAGUAAAACUAAGUUAUGAAGAUUUACCUAACAAACUGAAAUCAUGCUUCUUAUAUUUUGGUGCAUUUCUAGAGGACAGGGAAAUUUCAGUGUCAAAAUUAACAAGCUUAUGGAUUGCUGAGGAAUUCAUAAAAAACAAUGAAGACAAGUGUUUGGAGGAUACGGCAGAAGAUUACUUGAGUGAUCUUAUUGGAAGAAACCUCAUUAUGGUAUCGAAGAGGAGAUCAACUGGGAAGAUCAAAGCAUGUCGCGUGCAUGAUCUAAUGCUCGAUUUCUGCAAGGAGAAGGCUAAGGAAGAUAAUUUCCUUUUGUGGCUGAAAAGGGAUCGUGAUUCUAAUCCUCCGCGUUUUUAUUCUGAAAGGCCUAUGCACCGCCGUUUAUCCUUUUAUUCUAAUCGGGAUGAUCUUUCUGAGUGGAGGCCAUCAUGUUCACAUGCUCGUUCUAUCUUAUUCAGGGAGCUUAGUGAUAAUGCAUGUUCAUCAAUGAGACAUGCUUCUUUCAUCUUUGGCAACUUCAAAUUUCUCAGGGUGUUAGACUUGGAGGUGGUUGAUGUAGAUUCUUUUCCCACUGAACUUAAUCAGCUAAGGUACCUUGCUGUUCAAACUACUAAGAAUUCUAUUCCAUCAUCUAUUGAAAAUCUUUGGAAUCUUCAAACGUUCAUAGUCAAAAGAAAUGGAGGACAAGUAUGGUUGCCAGAUACUUUUUGGAAGCUGAGUAAGUUGAGAUAUGUUAGCAUUAGUGAUGGGGCGUUGUUUGCUUCGCGUGGUGCACAGGAAUCCUGUGGUGGAAAUUUCUUAAAGCUGGACAAUUUGGAAACAUUUUCCUCAAUAUAUGUUUCCAGGGUGAACAAUAUGGAAAGGAUGGUAAGAAGAACACCCAAUCUUCGGAAGUUAAGAUGUGUAUUUACUGAUUUAGGGCGUUGGGGAAAGAAUGAAAAUCGGUUUCCUGUAUUAGACUCAUUAUCUCAACUUGAAACGCUAAAAGUGGUCUUUGUUGGUAUCUCGGAGGUUGGUCCUUCAAGAUUAAACUUUCCAGAGAAUCUCAAGAAACUGACAUUAUGCAAAUUUCCUUUGCCACCUGAGGAAAUUUCAACCAUUGCCAAACUUGUCAACCUUGAGGUACUUAAACUGCGACAAGUUGCCUUUGAAAUGGGUGAAUGGGAAGUACGAGAUCAGGAGUUUUCUCAGCUCAAACUCUUGGAACUAGAAAAUCUCAAACUCUCGAAAUGGGAAGUGUCUGAGGAAUCCUUCGAUCGCCUUGAGAAAUUGGUUUUGCAUGGAUGCUUACAUCUCAAAGCUAUCCCUGAUGGUUUUCAGGACCUAAAUUGUUUGCGAUACAUUGAGGUAAAAUCAUGCAGUGAAGAUGUUGCCGACUCAGCUAGGAUUAUCAAAGAAACAAGAGAGGAUAACGGCCAAAAAUGUGACGUUAAAAUCUUUUCUUAGCACUGAAUGAUUAAGGCUGCAACCUUUAGUUCAUUUCCAAUCUGAUUGCAGCUAUUGUUUGUUGUUGCCUGUUAAAGGUAGAGAUAAGGUAUGCGUACAUUCUACCCUCUUCAUACCCCAUUUGCGGGAUUAUACUGUGUUUGUUGUGCUGUUAUUGAUGGUUGUAUAUCAGAGAGCUGUUUCAUGUUAUUUGUUAUAUAUGCUUUUGGGGCUUGUUGCACUAGUAGUCUUAUGAACUUUUCUGAAUUUUAUUUCCAUUUUAUGUUAAAUGGAUUGGUAUAUGGAUUUUGUUAGUUGUGUUUUUAUAAAUGAUUUAAUACGUAAAUAUGCAUUUUAACUUGGUUUCA